CCUACGGGAGGCAGCAGUCGAGAAUCAUUCACAAUGGGGGAAACCCUGAUGGUGCGACGCCGCGUGGGGGAAUGAAGGUCUUCGGAUUGUAAACCCCUGUCAUGUGGGAGCAAAUUAACAAGAUAGUACCACAAGAGUAAGAGACGGCUAACUCUGUGCCAGCAGCCGCGGUACUACAGAGGUCUCAAGCGUUGUUCGGAAUCACUGGGCGUAAAGCGUGCGUAGGCUGUUUAGUCAGUCGUGUGUGAAAGGCGCGGGCUCAACCCGCGGACGGCACAUGAUACUGCGAGACUAGAGUAAUGGAGGGGGUAACGGAAUUCGCGGUGUAGCAGUGAAAUGCGUAGAUAUCGAGAGGAACACUCGUGGCGAAGGCGGGUUCCUGGACAUUAACUGACGCUGAGGCACGAAGGCCAGAGGAGCGAAAGGGAUUAGAUACCCUUGUAGUC
rnacentral:rRNA from 1 species